rnacentral:hammerhead_ribozyme from 1 species
AUCUAGCUGACGAGUACCAAAUGGGACGAAACGCGCGUCGCGGAU